rfam:Picea glauca, whole genome shotgun sequence.
AUAUGUGAUAACACUUACAAAAUAGUGUUAAUUCACUUGAUCCCAUUAGAACUUCACAGUUAAUCAUGCUCAGGCUAGAGUAGUAUUGGGAUGGGUGACCGCCCAGGAUGUCCUAGUGCUUUACAUGCC